rnacentral:rRNA from 1 species
UACAGAGGUCUCAAGCGUUGUUCGGAUUCAUUGGGCGUAAAGGGUGCGUAGGCGGCGCGGUAAGUCGGGUGUGAAAUCUCGGAGCUUAACUCCGAAACUGCAUUCGAUACUGCCGUGCUUGAGGACUGGAGAGGAGACUGGAAUUUACAGUGUAGCGGUGAAAUGCGUAGAUAUCGUAAGGAAGACCAGUGGCGAAGGCGGGUCUCUGGACAGGUUCCU